rnacentral:rRNA from 1 species
UACGUAGGGUGCAAGCGUUGUCCGGAAUUAUUGGGCGUAAGAGCUCGUAGGCGGUUUGUCGCGUCGACUGUGAAAACCCGAGGCUUAACCUCGGGCCUGCAGUCGAUACGGGCAGACGUAGAGUGCGGAAGGGGCUACUGGAAUUCUCGGUGUAGCGGUGAAAUGCGUAGAUAUCGAGAGGAACACCUGCGGCGAAGGCGGGUAGCUGGGCCGACACUGACGCUGAUGCGCGAAAGCCAGGGAGCGAACGGG